rnacentral:rRNA from 1 species
GACGAACGCUGGCGGCGUGCUUAACACAUGCAAGUCGAACGGAAAGGCCCAGCUUGCUGGGUACUCGAGUGGCGAACGGGUGAGUAACACGUGGGUGAUCUGCCCUGCACUCUGGGAUAAGCCUGGGAAACUGGGUCUAAUACCGGAUAUGACCAACUGUCGCAUGGUGGUUGGUGGAAAAGCUUUUGCGGUGUGGGAUGGGCCCGCGGCCUAUCAGCUUGUUGGUGGGGUAAUGGCCUACCAAGGCGACGACGGGUAGCCGACCUGAGAGGGUGAUCGGCCACACUGGGACUGAGACACGGCCCAGACUCCUACGGGAGGCAGCAGUGGGGAAUAUUGCACAAUGGGCGCAAGCCUGAUGCAGCGACGCCGCGUGAGGGAUGACGGCCUUCGGUUGUAAACCUCUUCUACCAGGGACGAAGCGUGAGUGACGGUACCUGGAG